rnacentral:rRNA from 1 species
AGGAUGAAUGCUGGCGGCGCGCCUAACACAUGCAAGUCGAGCGGAAAGGCCCUUCGGGGUACUCGAGCGGCGGACGGCUGAGUAACGCGUGGGAACAUGCCCCAAAGUGAGGAAUAACUGCCCGAAAAGGGUAGCUAAUGCCGCAUAUGAUCUUCGGAUUAAAGGAUUUAUCCGCUUUGGGAGUGGCCCGCGUACGAUUAGGUAGUUGGUGAGGUAAAGGCUCACCAAGCCCACGAUCGUUAACUGGUCUGAGAGGAUGAUCAGUCAGACUGGAACUGAGACACGGUCCAGACUCCUACGGGAGGCAGCAGUGAGGAAUCUUCCACAAUGGGCGAAAGCCUGAUGGAGCGACGCCGCGUGCAGGAUGAAGGCCUUGGGUUGUAAACUGCUUUAUAAGUGAAGAAUAUGACGGUAACUUAUGAAUAAGCACCGGCUAACUACGUGCCAGCAGCCGC